rnacentral:sRNA from 1 species
GCCAGGUCCACUGGCGCAUGCCUGUAAUCCCAGAAGCUCGGAAGGCUGAGGCAGGAGGAUCGCAAGUUCAAAGCCAGCCUCAGCAAAAGCGAGGCCCUAAGGAACUCAGCGAGAUCCUGUCUCUA